rnacentral:rRNA from 1 species
GACGGAGGAUGCAAGCGUUAUCCGGAAUGAUUGGGCGUAAAGCGUCCGCAGGUGGCAGUUCAAGUCUGCUGUCAAAGACCGGGGCUUAACUUCGGAAAGGCGGUGGAAACUGAAGCGCUAGAGUGCGGUAGGGGUAGAGGGAAUUCCCGGUGUAGCGGUGAAAUGCGUAGAGAUCGGGAAGAACAUCGGUGGCGAAAGCGCUCUACUGGACCGCAACUGACACUCAGGGACGAAAGCUAGAGGAGCGAAUGGG